rnacentral:rRNA from 1 species
GACGAACGCUGGCGGCGUGCUUAACACAUGCAAGUCGAACGGAAAGGCCCUGCUUUUGUGGGGUGCUCGAGUGGCGAACGGGUGAGUAACACGUGAGUAACCUGCUCUUGACUUUGGGAUAACUUCAGGAAACUGGGGCUAAUACCGUAUAGGAGCUCCUGCUGCAUGGUGGGGGUUGGAAAGUUUCGGCGGUUGGGGAUGGACUCGCGGCUUAUCAGAUUGUUGGUGGGGUAGUGGCUUACCAAGGCUUUGACGGGUAGCCGGCCUGAGAGGGUGACCGGCGACAAUGGGACUGAGGUAGGGACCAGAGUCCUACGGGAGGCAACGGUGGCAAAUAUUGCACAAUGGGCGGAAGCCGGAUGCAGAAGCGCCGCGUGCGGGAUGACGGCCUUCGGGGUGUAAACCGCUUUCGCCUGUGACGAAGCGUGAGUGACGGUAAUGGGUAAAGAAGCACCGGCUAACUACGUG